UACGUAGGGGGCUAGCGUUAUCCGGAUUUACUGGGUGUAAAGGGAGCGUAGACGGCCAUUCAAGCCAGAUGUGAAAGCCCGGGGCUCAACCCCGGGACUGCAUUUGGAACUGUAUGGCUGGAGUGUCGGAGAGGCAGGCGGAAUUCCUAGUGUAGCGGUGAAAUGCGUAGAUAUUAGGAGGAACACCAGUGGCGAAGGCGGCCUGCUGGACGAUGACUGACGUUGAGGCUCGAAAGCGUGGGGAGCAAACAGG
rnacentral:rRNA from 1 species